UUUCGCGGACGGAGCCUGGGUUUAAGGGUUGGGUUUUCACGGGGGUAAGAGUGAGGGAGAGGAUUGGUGGUUCAUGGGAGGGGAGGGUAAGCCGGAGCCGCGUGAAUGGGGUUGGCCGGUUGGGGGUUGGCUUGGUUUCGUGAGGAUUCGAGGGUGGUUCAUGUGGAGGUUCGUGAGGGAGGGAGGGGUUCGAGGGUGGUUCAGGGAAGGGGGUUCGAUUGUGGUUCAAGGGAGGGGUGGCAGGGGAGGGCGGCGCGCCGGGAUUGGUGGCAGGGGAGGCCAGCGCGCCAGAAUGGUGGCAGGGGAGGUGGUUUGGGUGGUGGGUGGUUUCUAAAUUAAUUAAUUGUUUUUUUAUUUUUUUUAAUUUUAUUUUUUUGACUAAUUGGGUGCCGACACGUGGCUAGUAACUUGCUAUAACAAGUUAACUAACCGGUUGGGACCAAUAAAAAAGAUCGGGGGGUAAAGGUGGGAUUAUUAAAAAAUAAUCCAAAGGUGGGGUUAUUUUCAGCGGACGGGCAAAAGAUCGGAUUAUUGCGGGCAAUUUUUCCUUUAAUCUAUACCAACUACACUAAUCCCCACAUCUUGAAGUUAGCAUUAGUUGUGUACUUUACUACUUCGGAUAAAUGAAGGAAGGUGCACAAAACAAUUAGACCACGUUUCAAAAGUUCCCAAAUUUGUUAAGUUAAUCUCAUAUCAGUAUAUCACCCCCUUAUAAUAAAAUAAUAAAAAUAGAAAUGAAAAAAUAAAAUAAAAAUAAAAAUAAAAAUAAAAAAAUAAAAAAAAUUGAAUGAAAAGAAAAGAAAAACACCAAAAAGAAAAGCACUUACAGUCUGCUAAAAUCAAAAUCCUUCCCUGUCUUAAAUCGGUGACAGGCAGUCGUCGCCGACGCCUAUUUUUGGCUCGCCAGAAUAAUCAAACACUUCCUUUUUCUCUCUCCUCUCCCCCCAAAAAAAAAAAAAAAUCCCCAAUUUCAAAACCCUAAUUUCACCUGCAAAUCUCUUCACUCCUUUGCCAUAAUCUCUCUCCACUUUGAUUGCAAUCUAAUCGCAACUGAAAUUGCCUACCAACUCCUUUAAUACAUUCGUCUUUUCGAUCCAGAUUUCGCAGUAUUAUACUUAAUUUUAGUGACUGUUGAAUUUAUGAUUGGUUAUCGGUGGUUGUGAUUCUCUCGAAUCGAUGAUUUGAUCGGCGAAUUUUCGAGGAAUUGGGGUUUUGGUUUUGUGCAGGGUGGUCGAAAUGGCGGCACAAAACCCAGGGGAUCUGUUUGAUACGUAUUUUAGGAGAGCUGAUUUGGAUCAAGAUGGUAGAAUUAGUGGCGCUGAAGCCGUCGCUUUCUUCCAGGGUUCGAAUUUGCCGAAGCAAGUUCUCGCGCAGAUAUGGACGUUUGCUGACCAUAACCGAACAGGGUUCCUUGGUAGAGCCGAAUUCUAUAAUGCUCUUAAACUUGUGACCGUUGCACAAAGCAAGCGUGAAUUAACUCCCGAGCUUGUCAAGGCAGCUUUAUAUGGUCCAGCUUCAGCUAAAAUACCAGCACCACAGAUAAGUUUGCCUACUACACCUGGUCCUCAGUCAAGUACUGCUGGAUCAACCCCUUCCGCACCUCAGACAAGCAAUGUUGCUCCUAUCUCUUACCAUAACCCUGGACCUAGAGGAGUACCAGUAUCACCUAAUGUUAACAUGAAUCAGCAAUAUAACCAACCAGCAGUAAGUGGGACUGUGAGACCUCAAAAUACAGUUUCUGGUGUGGCUACACAACCUGUGCACGGGGUUGGAUUUCAAGGAUUUCCUGGAGGAGCUCCUCAACCUGGAUCAAAUCUGCCUAAUUCUAGACCUUCAAAUGACGUAGGGGUUGUUAACACGGGAAGGUCACCAACAACAGUAUACUCAGAGAGAAGUAGCAGUCUUUUGACGAACCAGUCUGGGGUGACAUCAACAGAAGGACCAGCAGCUUCUUUACCACCUAAGCCAUCUGUAACAGCAGGAAACUCUGCCACGCAGCCUAAACCAUCACAAAAUGGGUUCAGUCAAGGCUCUUUCUUCGGAGGUGAAGCAUUGUCUGCCGCUCCGUCUCUGCCCAAAAGAGAGGGUUCUGUUCUUACGUCAUCUGCUGGAAGUGUACAAGUCCCUACACCCUCGGUUCCAGUCUCAGCUGGCAACCAGUCUUUCUCAAAGCAGGGUUCUGUUACUUCUGUACCGAAUUCACUUGCUGCACACUCUUUCGGUGGACAACAUCAAAAGCUGCAAUCACACGUGAAACAGAAUCAACAUAUUCCAGUCCAAAAUAUUGCUCCACGUGGCCCUCCUGCAUCCCCACCUAAUAAUUCUGCAGGACAUCAGCCCCAGCUGCACUGGCCAAGACCAACUCAGACUGAUCUACAGAAAUACACCAAAGUAUUUAUGGAGGUUGAUACUGAUAAAGAUGGGAAAAUUACUGGUGAACAAGCGCGCAAUCUAUUUUUAAGUUGGAAGUUACCACGAGAGGUCUUAAAGCAGGUGUGGGACUUGUCUGAUCAGGAUAAUGAUAGCAAUCUUUCUCUCAGGGAAUUCUGCAUUGCACUUUAUCUGAUGGAAAGAUACAGGGAAGGACGUCCUCUUCCAGCAGUUCUUCCAAGUAGUGUUGUGCUUGAUUUCCCCGCAACUACUCAACCACCUGCUGGAUAUGGUAAUGCAGGAUGGGGAUAUUCUGCUGGUUUCCAGCAACCACAGGCACCUGGAACUGCUCCAAGACCAAAUGCACGUCCGACAGGGAAGCCACCAUUGCCUGUUACGGCUCAUAUGUCAUCUGAUGAUAGAAUGCCACCUAAGCCACCAAAAGCCAAAGUGCCAACGUUAGAAAAGCACCUAGUAGAACAGCUAAGUGAAGUGGAGCAGAAAUCACUCAAUUUGAAAUUCUUGGAGGCAUCAGAGGCUAAUAAAAAGGUUGAAGAACUGGAGAAGGAAAUAAAAGAAGCAAGAGAGAAAACGGAGUUCUACCGAGUUAAAAUGCAGGAGCUUGUUCUGUACAAGAGUAGAUGUGACAGUCGCUUUAAUGAAGUUUCAGAGAGGGCUGCUGCAGAUAAGCGUGAGGUUGAGUCUCUGGCUAAGAAGUAUGAAGAGAAGUACAGACAAAAUGGUGAUGUGGCAUCUAGAUUGACAAUUGAAGAAGCAACAUUCCGUGACAUACAGGAGAAGAAAAUGGAGAUGUAUCAGGCAAUUGUGAAGAUGGAGCAGGAUGGCACUGAUGAGAACUUUCAGGUUCGUGCUGAUCACAUCCAGUCUAGUUUGGAGGAAUUAAUAAGAUCUCUCUGUGAACGUUGCAAGAAAUAUGGAUUGCGUGCUAAACCUACCACGCUAGUUGAGCUUCCCUUUGGGUGGCAACCUGGCAUUCAGGAGAGUGCUGCUGAUUGGGAUGAAGACUGGGAUAAAUUUGAAGAUGAAGGUUACACUUUUGUGAAGGAUCUGACUCUUGACGUGAAUAACAUCAUUGCACCUCCGAAAACAAAAAUUAAAGCUGCAAAGAAAGAAAAGAAUAUGAUUUUUGAAGGUGAUGCAGCUGCUCAUACCUCAGACUCUGAAACCAAACCUGUCAAGUCCGCUGCAGAGGAUGAACAGGUGGCAGAAAAUGGUGUCGUAGGUACCCCUAAAGCAGUUGAAACGGUAAAGAAUACAGUUUCUAGUCCUUCUGCUAGAAGUUCGCAUGGAAGUCCACGUGAUGGAUCUAAGGACAAUCAUUUCCAAAAGCUUGAAAGUUCUGUUGCUUCACCUCGUGCCAAGGGAUCUCAGAGUGACGUUGGGAUUGCUGAUGCUUCAAUAUCCGGGGAGAAGAGUUUCGAUGAGCCGUCUCAGGGCACCUUUGAUACUAAUGAUGAUGCCGACUCAAUCUGGGGUUUCUCAAAGGAGAUGAAACUCGACAAGCAUAAUGAUGAUUUGUUUGGACACGGGCAAUGGACUCUGCCUCCUAUCAGGACUAGUUCCUCACAGGCUGAUGACUUUUUGCCCAAAAAAGGCAUAUUUGCAGACUCUGUACCAGGCACACCAGCAGAUGUCUUUGUGCCGAAAAAGAGCAUUUUUGCAGAUUCUGUUCCUGGUACACCAGCAGAUGGCUUUUUGCCUAAACAGAGCAUUUUUGCCGAUUCUGUUCCAAGCACACCACUCUAUGAAUCAAGCUAUUCUCCACAGAAAUUUGGCGAAGGACUAGAGCGCGGUUUAAACUUUUCAAGAUUUGAUUCCUUCAGGUCAUCAGAUAGUGGCUUUCAGCCUCAAGAAAAGCUAUCUCGAUUUGAUUCCAUGCGCAGUACUGGAGAUUUUGAGUCACAUGAUGAUAGGUCAUUUCAGCAAAGGGAUUCUUUUUCACGGUUUGAUUCUAUGCGAAGUACUAAUGAUUUUGAUUAUGGGGAUCGAUUUUCAUCAUUUGAUGAUUCAGACGCUUUUGGCUCUGGGCCUUUUAAGUCUUCAUUUGGAAGUGAGACUCCUAGGGGGGACUCUGAUGCUUUCGGAUCUAGUGCAUUUAGGUCUUCUCUGGGAAAUGAAACUCCAAGGUCAGAGAUAGAUGCAUUUGGUUCUGUGGGGCCUUUCAGGUCAUCUAUGGCCAGUGAAACUCCUAGGGCUGAUUCAGAUCCUUUUGGGGCACCUUUUCGGUCAUCACUGGGUGUUGAAACACCGAGAGCAGAUGCUGAUCCAUUUGGUUCUGUUGGGCCUUUCAAGUCGUCUUGGGGCAGUGAAACUCCAAGAGCAGAUACUGACCCUUUUGGUGGUCCUUUCAAGUCAUCACUGGGCAGUGAAACACCCAGGGGAGAAUCGGACUAUUUUGGAUACUCUGGUUCUUUUAAAUCUCCUUUUGGCAGUGAGACGCCUAGGGGUGAGUUUGAUUCUUACGGGUUUGGUGGGCCAUUUGGUUCAUCAUUUGGCAAUGAAACACCUAGGGGUGACAUGGAUGCAUUCGGUUCUUCUGGGCCAUUUAAGUCGACUGUGGGUAGUGAAACCCCAAAAGAUCGAACAGAUAGUUGGAGUGCGUUUUAGAGUAUAGUGAGUUUAUAUUCUAUAUCCUUUGUCCAGUGCUUUGAUGCUAGAGCAAUUUUGCCUACAAAUGUUAGAGCCCGGGAAUGCUUCAUCCUGGUGUUUUUACAGGCUCCCUAGCGUGCUGCAGGUUUGCCACCUGCUACCAACCAGCCGAAAAUCCCUGCUACGAUCUUUAAAGCGGCUUACUCCUGGCUUAUCAGCUUCAUUAUUUUUAACCUUGUUGUUUGCUUAAUACUCACCGGCUGUAAUAAAAGGCAGAUCGACUGUGAUUCUAGAGACAUGUUUUCAAAGGUCACUGGCCGCAACGAAUAAAAAUACACAGUACUCUGUAUGACUAACACGAGCAUGAAGCAAAUUUCUUUUACGGAGUAAAUUUUAUUUUAUUUUUUUUCCUUUUCAAAUCCUUCAAUUUCUGAUUUAUUCUAUCAUUUAAAUAUCAUGAUGCUCUAUUGUAACUAUCCUUAUGAUAAAAGGAACAUUAACUGUUACAAUUUCUCCACAUACCAUAGAGCCAGCACAAUUGGAGCUCGAACUCAUGACUUUAAAGUUACAAGUUGAGUUUCCCAUCAACUUCACCAAGCUUAGCUUGAUUUAAAUAAAUUUGUACCUAUUGACUUCUCCGCA